rnacentral:rRNA from 1 species
GGGGAAUAUUGCACAAUGGGCGAAAGCCUGAUGCAGCAACGCCGCGUGAAGGAUGAAGGGUUUCGGCUCGUAAACUUCUAUCAACAGGGACGAAAAAAAUGACGGUACCUGAAUAAGAAGCCCCGGCUAACUACGUGCCAGCAGCCGCGGUAAUACGUAGGGGGCAAGCGUUAUCCGGAAUUACUGGGUGUAAAGGGAGAGUAGGCGGCAUGGUAAGUUAGAUGUGAAAGCCCGGGGCUUAACCUCGGGAUUGCAUUUAAAACUAUCAAGCUAGAGUACAGGAGAGGUAAGUGGAAUUCCUAGUGUAGCGGUGAAAUGCGUAGAUAUUAGGAAGAACACCAGUGGCGAAGGCGACUUACUGGACUGAAACUGACGCUGAGGCUCGAAAGCGUGGGGAGCGAAC